rnacentral:rRNA from 1 species
AGAGUUUUUUCCUGGCUCAGGACGAACGCUGGCGGCGUGCCUACACAUGCAAGUCGAACGAAGCGCCUUUUAAGAUUCUUCGGAUGAUUGAUUGGUGACUGAGUGGCGGACGGGUGAGUAACGCGUGGGUAACCUGCCCUGUACAGGGGGAUAACAGUUGGAAACGGCUGCUAAUACCGCAUAAGCGCACGAGAGGACAUCCUCUUGUGUGAAAAACUCCGGUGGUACAGGAUGGGCCCGCGUCUGAUUAGCUGGUUGGCAGGGUAACGGCCUACCAAGGCGACGAUCAGUAGCCGGUCUGAGAGGAUGAACGGCCACAUUGGAACUGAGACACGGCCCAGACUCCUACGGGAGGCAGCAGUGAGGGGUAUUGGGCAAUGGGGGAAACCCUGACCCAGCAACGCCGCGUGAGGGAUGACGGUUUUCGGAUUGUAAACCUCUGUCCUCUGUGAAGAUAGUGACGGUAGCAGAGGAGGAAGCUCCGGCUAACUACGUGCCAGCAGCCGCGGUAAUACGUAGGGAGCAAGCGUUGUCCGGAUUUACUGGGUGUAAAGGGUGCGUAGGCGGAUUGGCAAGUCAGAAGUGAAAUCCAUGGGCUUAACCCAUGAACUGCUUUUGAAACUGUUAGUCUUGAGUGAAGUAGAGGUAGGCGGAAUUCCCGGUGUAGCGGUGAAAUGCGUAGAGAUCGGGAGGAACACCAGUGGCGAAGGCGGCCUACUGGGCUUUAACUGACGCUGAGGCACGAAAGUGUGGGUAGCAAACAGGAUUAGAUACCCUGGUAGUCCACACUGUAAACGAUGAUUACUAGGUGUGGGGGGUCUAACCCCCUCCGUGCCGGAGUUAACACAAUAAGUAAUCCACCUGGGGAGUACGACCGCAAGGUUGAAACUCAAAGGAAUUGACGGGGGCCCGCACAAGCGGUGGAGCAUGUGGUUUAAUUCGAAGCAACGCGAAGAACCUUACCAAGUCUUGACAUCCUCCUGACCGGUCCUUAACCGGACCUUUCCUUCGGGACAGGAGAGACAGGUGGUGCAUGGUUGUCGUCAGCUCGUGUCGUGAGAUGUUGGGUUAAGUCCCGCAACGAGCGCAACCCCUAUCCUCAGUAGCCAGCAUUUAAGGUGGGCACUCUGGGGAGACUGCCAGGGAUAACCUGGAGGAAGGCGGGGAUGACGUCAAAUCAUCAUGCCCCUUAUGAUUUGGGCUACACACGUGCUACAAUGGCGUAAACAAAGGGAAGCGAGAUCGUGAGAUGGAGCAAAUCCCAAAAAUAACGUCCCAGUUCGGACUGUAGUCUGCAACCCGACUUCAUGAAGUCGGAAUCGCUAGUAAUCGCAGAUCAGAAUGCCGCGGUGAAUACGUUCCCGGGUCUUGCACUCACCGCCCGUCA